rnacentral:lncRNA from 1 species
UUUAUAAUCCAACAUCUAGAAUAUUGUGAUGAAAUUAUAAUCCUUUGUACAAGAAAGGCUGCUCAUAUUGCAACUACUCACGUUCAAGCCAACCAUUUUUGAAAAUUAGAUAUGGUUACACCAUAACUGACAAGUUCUCUUCCUCCCACACUGUCUACAUAAAACAUUUUAUCACCACCUCCCAGAUUAGGAGUAUAAUCCUAUAAUCCGAAUCAAAGAAAGCCUAAAAGGGAUCUUGAGUAAAUCAGUCAUGAGACCCCCAUCCCUCUCAAAUCACCACUUCCUCUUCAUUUUUCUAGGACUAAGCUUUGCCAGUAUUAGCUGUUCUAAGACAAUGGCUUAUAAUCCUCCUUGUCCAUUAAACUUUGGUAUUCUUAUGGGAAUUACCAAAUCAUUCCAGAGCCAGGUCACCUCCUUUUGACCUUGCGGCCGAGUGGUCAGCGGGAAGGUGGGGCAGGAACGAGGUAGUUUUCGGUCAGAGUAUCUUCGAGCUACUGGUGUACUUCGCCGCCCUCCGAGUAUUUCAGAGGCUGGUUGGGAUUUCAUUGCAGGCCUGAGGUGACACCGUUUUAGAAGGAUUCGAUGUUCGAUCCCCUUGUGGGGUUUCAACCAGCUGGAUAUCAAAAAGUUGUUUGAUAUCAAUACAGGCAAGAGUUCGAGGCCCUUAAUUUCCAAACACGCAUGGGAGGAGGAGGAAGGUUGUGUAACCAAACACUUGGGAGCAGUCUACUUGUUCAUCUUGUAGAGCCCCUUGUCGUGUUUGCAAGUAGCUUAUGUUCGGCCAUGACGGGAAGUUCUCGGCUUGUUUUUUGGUAUCCAUAUAUGUAUUCUCAGCUUUCGCUAAUCGAUUUUGGGGCCCACUGGACUUGGAGACAACCAGUGCCUGUUUCGCGCUUGAUCGCCAUGCAUCAGCUAAACACGAGAGAAACAUGUGUUUGUGGUGACCUAGCGCCGUGCUAGGCUGUGCAAUUGGCGUCUUCGGAGCAAUUUCUGUUGUUUGGGUUUCUUUGGAGACAGCAUAGAUUAAAAAGAGUGAAGAAGAAGGUUUGGUGGGGUUGGGGGGAUCAUUCGGUGAAAGUGACUACUUGGCAAGUUCACAUUGGAACAGCUGAAGGAGGCUUCAAAUGAUUUUCUCGACAAAAAUCUAAUGGAAAAAGGAGGUAUAUGGGAUGUCUUCAGAGGGGUGGUAGGCAAAUGCUCUCAAGUUGCAUUGAAAAAAGUUCAAAAAUUGCUGCGUUUCCGUGAUGAGAUUUUCAAACACGAGGCGAGGUCAGGGGAAGGUGUUAGACACGUAAAUCUUGUUGUCUAAGAGGCUAUUGCCUGGAACAGAUCCUCUGGUAUGCCACCAGAGAAUAAUUUGUGUGUGAACGAUGCAAGAAUGGAAGGCCUCAUGACCAUCUGUUUUGGCUUGGGGGAGAAGAAUAAACUCACCUGCCAAUUCGUCAAAGAUGCCCUGUGGACAGCCACGCGGGUUGGCUUAUUUACACAUGUAGCUUUCAACUGCUAUUAUGCAUAGAGAUGUCAAAUCAAUUCAUAUACUUUUGGAUGAGACAGGGGAACGAACUUGCAGAUUUCGGCUUCGCUCAGUUGUUUUACGUCGCAGAUGGGUUUCACAUGGAAGCACUAAACUCGCUGGUACCCUUUGGUUUACGUACCCCAGAAUAUGCUUGUCAUGGUUCAUUUACAGAGAGAAGGGAGGUCGAGAGGGGGGGGAUAGUUCUCCUUGAGUUUUGAGCGGGAAACACUGUUUUUGGCCGUUGAAACCAGGGAACAUUUGCCUGUUGAUAGAUUGGGCUGGGUCACUAGUGCAAAAAGGCCAAUCAUGGAUAUUAUUGAAGAAGGGCAUCCUGAGAGGGCAACCACCAGAAAGUAAUGGGAAUUUGUUUUUUUGUUGCUGUUCUUUGUGGCUCAUCCGACAUUACAUGCCAGGCCCACCAUGGAACAGAUUGUGAAUAUUUUAGAAAUGGACUUUACAACGGUUAUCUCGAUCCCAGAUCACCCGAUUUCUCUGAUUGAAAAUGCAAAUGAUAUUGAGAGAUCACUUACCCGCAUUGAUUUGGGUUCUAUAUCUUGUGCCGAUCAAUGACUAUCUAUCUCUGGGAGUGGCCAUUCGAGGUAGGAUCAUGUGGAAAAUGAGGAAUCGUUUCAAGAACUUGUGAUGUAAAAUUUUUCUAUUGAUACAUUGGGCUUUGUCUGCAAGUCAAACUUUUCUUGUUUGGCUUAAAAGAAACUUUUCUGAUCAAUCUUCUUUUACUCUAAGCAGAUUUUUUGCAAUCUUGGCUUGGGAAAAGAAUUAAGGUUUUCUUUGUAUGCUUCCUAGUUUACAGUAAACACGUCUUUCGCGUGUUUGCUCAAGAUUAAAUUUCAAUAAAUGCAUAAUUGGAAAGAAUUUCAAUGUAUCUGCAAGAAAUUGAAAUUUUGGGAAAUUAAAGAGAACAAAAAAACACUUACCAGACAUAACUAAAAACCUAUCCUAAAAUAGCCCUUUAAUUUAAAAAUCUCAUACACAAUAUCCAUUUAUACAUUACAAAAGCAUAAUUAAAUCUCAUAUAAGUUGAUAAAGUUGAUUAUAAAUGUAUGAAACUUAGUCAAGAACGUUAAUUUCUUUGGGCCGAUUAGCUGAGACGGGGAACAAUAGAAAAGUAUAUAGAGCCAAGUUCGAGCCGAACUAAAAAAUUAAACAAUUUCAAAAAUAGGUUUAAGCUUUGGAUUUGUUUGCAUAACAAUCUAAUUACUAAAAAAAAUUUAACGAGCCGACAUGCUCCACUCAAGUAGGUUGUUUUCGCUUUACAUGUAAAGGCGUGAGGAGUUAUUACAUCAUAUUGCAAUUUUAGGCUGCCAACACCAGAUUGUACUGGCUUUGCUGUCCAUGUGUAUUCGAGUGCUUGUGUCCUGGCCAAUCUAGUCCAAGUUCAAUAAUGUGAUACACUGGGGACUAAACUACAAACAAAGUGUCAUUUACAAAUUCAUUAUCGGGGUCCUAAACUCCUCAGUCCUUUCCUGGAUAUCAAAUUCCACCUUCAUUUUGCUUCCAACAGUUUCUAGUAGGGUCUUGUUUGUUUUUUCAUUCACCUAGUCGACUGGACAGUCAAUUCUAGUCAGACUCAAUCCCUGGUCCAUGUAAAUGAGGGAGUAACAGAUGUGUACUACCUCUCUAUGAUACAGCAUCCAUGACAAGGAAAAAUCAAGUUAAUUCAGUAAUGUAACUGCAUUACCUAAUUUGUGGAUGAUUAUAAUACGAUGAGAUCAUGUUACUAAAUUAUCAGUUCCAAUAUAUUUUUUUUCCAGCGGAAUGAUGGAUAAACCCCACAUGGGAGCCAUUAUAAACUUCUCAAAUCAAUUAGCGUAGACCCCGGGAUGGUUUUGCUAGCUAAAUGAACUACUUUAAGUCUAUAGUGAUAAAUAAACAAAUAUGGCAACGAACCGGGGGACGCAAUCAACCAUGGUAAAUGAAUAAGCAUUUGGGAAAUUCUAGACUAGACUUCAUAUCGUCUCCUAGGCCAAAUUUGUUAGGAGGUACUCAGUUUCAUUCAAAGUUAUUUUUUUCUAGCUUAGACUGUUGACGAUUCGGAGUAGGAUUGCAGGAAGAGAUAGUGGAAAAGCCUCAAUAGAAAAUGCUUCAGUGAGCUCAAUAGACAUUCUUGAGAAAGGUAAAAUCAUGGCAUAUAUUUGGCUACGGUAGGGAAUCAACUGAUUUUUCAUAUUUUAACGAUCUACACCAUCGACCGAAAGGGACGGAAACUGGAUCUUGUCCAAUGGGCCCUACUCUGGGCCUUAACGCCCAGCUGUAUGGAACAAUCAACGAAACUGAAUUGGACAAUCUGAGCCCUUAACAUUACAUUUGGAGCAAUCUCAUCAUUCUCUAGUUUGAAUUUGUGUCCUCUUGCAACUGUCAUAAUUCAGUAGAACUUUGAGUAUCACAACUAUGAAAUGAAACAAAGAAGGAGACAAUCAUGUCAACAGAAAAGAAAAGAGCAAUAAAGCAGACUGGUCAAUUAAUAUUUCAGACAAUCAGGAAUGGUAGUCCAAGUCAUUAUCAACGGCUGUGGUCUACACUCCAAUUGUUGAAUUUUUUGAUGAACAAGGAGGACACAUGAUCAACGACAUGAUCACCCUCAAGGGUUUAGAAUUUGUUGAAGAAACAAAGGAGGAAACAGAUCAACGUCUUUGGUCUACACGCCAAUGGGGGCAGAAUUUGUUGAUGAAACAAGAAGGAAAGGCGGCUUAUUUUUCCAAAUUUCACAUUCAUAUCAUCCAAAUUUGAAAAUCGUAAGGUCGUUCUAAUUCCAGAUCAGAGCAAGAUUUUCUCUAACCAAAACCAAGAAGCCUAAAUUUAUCUUGGAAAUCAGUCACAGGAAAGAACAUCCCUCUCAAUCCCCUCUUCCUCUUCAUUUUGUCCUGGUCUAAUCUGUUUCCAUAUUAGCUGUUCUACAACUGGCUUAUAAUCUCUUUGUCCAUUAAACUAAUAUUCUUUGGAGAAUGACCAAAGCCAGGACAGAACUCAGGUCACCUCCCUUGACAUUGAGACUGAGUGUCAUCUCAUUUUU